rnacentral:rRNA from 1 species
GCGCAGCAGGCGAGAAUUUUUCUCAAUGGGGGAAACCCUGAAGGAGCGACGCCGCGUGGAGGAUGAAGGCUUUCGGGUUGUAAACUCCUGUCAUUUGAGAACAAGUGUAGCCAAAUAACUACUGGCUACUUGAUAGUAUCAGAAGAGGAAGGGACGGCUAACUCUGUGCCAGCAGCCGCGGUAAUACAGAGGUCCCAAGCGUUGUUCGGAUUCAUUGGGCGUAAAGGGUGCGUAGGUGGCGCCGUCAGUGGGGUGUGAAAUUUCGGAGCUUAACUCCGAAACUGCAUUCCAUACUGCGGUGCUUGAGGACUGGAGAGGAGACUGGAAUUCAUGGUGUAGCAGUGAAAUGCGUAGAGAUCAUGAGGAAGACCAGUGACGAAGGCGGGUCUCUGGACAGUUCCUGACACUGAGGCACGAAGGCUAGGGGAGCGAACGGGAUUAGAUACCCGCGUAGU